rnacentral:rRNA from 1 species
AACGAACGCUGGCGGCAUGCCUAACACAUGCAAGUCGAACGAGACCUUCGGGUCUAGUGGCGCACGGGUGCGUAACGCGUGGGAACCUGCCCUUAGGUUCGGAAUAACUCCCCGAAAGGGGUGCUAAUACCGGAUAAUGUCUUCGGACCAAAGAUUUAUCGCCUUUGGAUGGGCCCGCGUUGGAUUAGCUAGUUGGUAGGGUAAAAGCCUACCAAGGCGACGAUCCAUAGCUGGUCUGAGAGGAUGAUCAGCCACACUGGGACUGAGACACGGCCCAGACUCCUACGGGAGGCAGCAGUGGGGAAUAUUGGACAAUGGGCGAAAGCCUGAUCCAGCAAUGCCGCGUGAGUGAUGAAGGCCUUAGGGUUGUAAAGCUCGUUUACCCGGGAGGAUAAUGACAGUACCGGGAGAAUAAGCUCCGGCUAACUCCGUG